AGAGUUUGAUCCUGGCUCAGGACGAACGCUGGCGGCGUGCCUAACACAUGCAAGUCGAACGGAACUGUUUUGAAAGAUUUCUUCGGAAUGAAUUUGAUUUAGUUUAGUGGCGGACGGGUGAGUAACGCGUGAGUAACCUGCCUUCAAGAGGGGGAUAACAUUCUGAAAAGAAUGCUAAUACCGCAUGAUAUAUCGGAAUCACAUGAUUUUGAUAUCAAAGAUUUUAUCGCUUGAAGAUGGACUCGCGUCCGAUUAGUUAGUUGGUGAGGUAACGGCUCACCAAGACCGCGAUCGGUAGCCGGACUGAGAGGUUGAACGGCCACAUUGGGACUGAGACACGGCCCAGACUCCUACGGGAGGCAGCAGUGGGGGAUAUUGCGCAAUGGGGGCAACCCUGACGCAGCAACGCCGCGUGAAGGAUGAAGGUUUUCGGAUUGUAAACUUCUUUUAUUAAGGACGAAACUUGACGGUACUUAAUGAAUAAGCUCCGGCUAACUACGUGCCAGCAGCCGCGGUAAUACGUAGGGAGCAAGCGUUGUCCGGAUUUACUGGGUGUAAAGGGUGCGUAGGCGGCUUUGCAAGUCAGAUGUGAAAUCUAUGGGCUCAACCCAUAAACUGCAUUUGAAACUGUAGAGCUUGAGUGAAGUAGAGGCAGGCGGAAUUCCCCGUGUAGCGGUGAAAUGCGUAGAGAUGGGGAGGAACACCAGUGGCGAAGGCGGCCUGCUGGGCUUUAACUGACGCUGAGGCACGAAAGCGUGGGUAGCAAACAGGAUUAGAUACCCUGGUAGUCCACGCUGUAAACGAUGAUUACUAGGUGUGGGGGGUCUGACCCCUUCCGUGCCGGAGUUAACACAAUAAGUAAUCCACCUGGGGAGUACGG
rnacentral:rRNA from 1 species